rnacentral:piRNA from 1 species
UGGAAAUAUCUUCGGUUUAAAUA